GUAAUCAAUGCAAGCUGAUGACUUGCACUUACUGGGAAUUCCUCGUUCAUGGAGAAUAAUUACAAUCCCCAAUCCCAAGCACGAAAAGGGUUCACUCGGUUUCCCGCUCCUUUCGGAGUAGGAUGCACAUACACGCUGAUCUCUUCAGUGUAGCGCGCGUGCGGCCCCGGACAUCUAAGGGCAUCACAGACCUGUUAUUGCUCUUUCUCAUACGGCUGAAACGCCGUCUGUCCCUCUAGGAAGCGCUGAGGCAGCACGAAGGAUGCCUCAGUCUAAUUAGUAGGCUAGAGUCUCGUUCGUUAUCGGAAUUAACCAGACAAAUCACUCCACCAACUAAGAACGGCCAUGCACCACCACCCACUGAAUCAAGAAAGGGCUUCAACCUGUCAAUCCUCACAGUGUCCGGGCCGGGUGAGUUUCCCCGUGUUGAGUCAAAUUAAGCCGCAGGCUCCACUCCUGGUGGUGCCCUUCCGUCAAUUCCUUUAAGUUUCAGCUUUGCAACCAUACUUCCCCUGGAACCGAAAGACUUUGGUUUCCCGGAAGCCGCCAGCCGUGUCAUCAAGAGAACACAGGCUGAUUGCUGGUUGGCAUCGUUUAUGGUUAGAACUAGGGCGGUAUCUGAUCGCCUUCGAACCUCUAACUUUCGUUCUUGAUUAAUGAAAACAUUCUUGGCAAAUGCUUUCGCUUUAGUUAGUCUUGCGACGGUCCAAGAAUUUCACCUCUAGCGUCGCAAUACUAAUGCCCCCGUCUGUCCCUCUUAAUCAUUACCUUGGUUCCGAAGACCAACAAAAUAGAACCAAAGUCCUAUUUCAUUAUUCCAUGCAACAUUAUUCGAUCGUGUAAAGACCGCUUUGAGCACUCUAAUUUUUUCAAAGUAAACGUACCGAUCACUAGUGACACUCGGUGAAGAGCACCACUAGACGAUAAACGGUAGUGUGUCCAGUUACGAUAGUAA
rnacentral:rRNA from 1 species